rnacentral:rRNA from 1 species
UACGAAGGGGGCUAGCGUUACUCGGAUUGACUGGGCGUAAAGGGCGCGUAGGCGGCUUGUACAGUCAGGCGUGAAAUUCCUGGGCUCAACCUGGGGGCUGCGUUUGAUACGUGCGGGCUUGAGUUCGGAAGAGGGUCGUGGAAUUCCCAGUGUAGAGGUGAAAUUCGUAGAUAUCGGGAGGAACACCAGUGGCGAAGGCGGCGAUCUGGGAAGAUACUGACGCUGAGGUGCGAAAGCGUGGGGAGCAAACAGG